rnacentral:lncRNA from 1 species
GGGACUGUUUCAAUGGGUUCUGGAAUGAAAUCAUCAUCAUCAUCUUCAUCAUCGUCGCUUGGCAGAGGGUAUGGAGGAUCAGGAAGCCUUAGAUUUUUCCUCCUGUAUUUCAUCUUGAGACAAGGGGACGAUCGCACAGGCUCCAUCCUGAGGGCUAUUAUGUAUAAAAAACAGUUAGUGUGUGUUUUGCAAAAAUGAUGAUAGGGAGUGCAAUGUAAUAAU